rnacentral:misc_RNA from 1 species
GUCUGAAGGGAUUGGAGAAGGACGAUUAACAGGGGAGGAAGGAACAGAGGGAUCUUGAGGAUUAGGGACAUUAUCAGGGGAUGGAGCAACAGGGGACCCUCCUUUUUUGGAGGACUUGUUUUUUGUCUUGUGAUAAUGGUAUCUUCCCUGUACAUUGCUUGAAUUCUGAACGACAAUAAUUACUACAAUUGAAAUUACUACCAAACCACGAACGAUCUCCAUUAGAAGCGAUGAAUUGAAC